rnacentral:misc_RNA from 1 species
AGCAGCCGCGGUAAUUCCAGCUCCAAUAGCGUAUAUUAAAGUUGUUGCAGUUAAAAGCUCGUAGUUGAAUUUCGAGACCGGUCUACUGGUCGUGCUUUUGUACGUACUGGUAUAAUCGGUUUCUCUCUUCUGACGAACUAUAAUGCCAUUAAUUUGGUGUUUUAGGGAAUCAGGACUGUUACUUUGAAAAAUUAGAGUGUUUAAAGCAGGCUCACGCUUGAAUACAUUAGCAUGGAAUAACGAAAUAGGACGUUUGAUUCUAUUUUGUUGGUUUCUAGGAUCGACGUAAUGAUUAAUAGGGAUAGUUGGGGGCAUUAGUAUUCAAUUGUCAGAGGUGAAAUUCUUGGAUUUAUUGAAGACUAACUACUGCGAAAGCAUUUGCCAAGGAUGUUUUCAUUAAUCAAGAACGAAAGUUAGGGAUCGAAGACGAUCAGAUACCGUCGUAGUCUUAACCAUAAAC